rnacentral:rRNA from 1 species
GACGAACGCUGGCGGCGUGCUUAACACAUGCAAGUCGAACGGAAAGGCCCUGCUUUUGUGGGGUGCUCGAGUGGCGAACGGGUGAGUAACACGUGAGUAACCUGCCCUUGACUUUGGGAUAACUUCAGGAAACUGGGGCUAAUACCGGAUAGGAGCUCCUGCUGCAUGGUGGGGGUUGGAAAGUUUCGGCGGUUGGGGAUGGACUCGCGGCUUAUCAGCUUGUUGGUGGGGUAGUGGCUUACCAAGGCUUUGACGGGUAGCCGGCCUGAGAGGGUGACCGGCCACAUUGGGACUGAGAUACGGCCCAGACUCCUACGGGGGGCAGCGGUGGGGAAUAUUGCACAAUGGGCGGAAGCCUGAUGCAGCAACGCCGCGUGCGGAAUGACGGCCUUCGGGUUGUAAACCGCUUUCGCCUGUGACGAAGCGUGAGUGACGGUAAUGGGUAAAGAAGCACCGGCUAACUACGUG